AGUGUCUACUAUUGACCUGGCACUGUGAUAGCAUGGAGAAUGUGAUGGUGAGCAAAAAGGACAUGCCCAGGUAGAGAUCUGGGGGAGCCAAACGUUUAAUGAAAACACUAAUAAGCAAAUGGGUCCCAGUUUGGAUGGUCAUUCCGGUGAUGACUGAGAGGUACGUGGUGUUAAGCAAAGUGCACAACAGGGAGAACCACCUAAGCAGGAAAUAGAGGAAAGGCUUCCUUGAGAGAGGCAAGACUGACCUGAAAAAUGGAGGAUGGAACACACACGAAAAAAAAUCACUGGGAGAAAAUACAGCGAAACACAUGAUGAGAUGGUGACACAUCCUGGCCACAAGCAGCCAGAUAAGAUUUGGGCCUCCUACCCUCUGUGUGGAGUCAGCACAUGGUGAAGAGACAGAAGAAAGUAACUUGGAGGAGGUUUCAUGGUCUAGGCCUGGAUGUGCUACACGUCACUGCUGCUUCGGUUCCAGUAUGCAGUCACACAGCCACACCGGAUUGUUAGGGAAGCUGAGAAAUGUGAUCUAGCACUGUGUCCAGGAAGAAAGGAAAAUAGGGAUGGUAAAUGACUAGCCAAUAUUUGUCAAACAAACAUGAAAAGUAAGGUAUAAAGGAAAUAGCUCACUCUGUGUUCUUUAAAAGACUUCUGCUAAUAGUAUUCCCAGAAUUGUUACCAUGAGCAGAAAUAACCACGAGUGGCUCUGGCAUAGAACCCCAGAGUAAACAAGGAAUUUUCUGGGGCAACUUUACCUCUGUGUCUUCUUCUCGAUUCUUUCUGUAAUUGCCUUUGUACAGGUCCUUUCUACUUUAUGCUUAGGUUGCUGGAAUCUCUACCUUCCUAGCCUCUGGACAGGGCUAUCUUCUGGACAUGUCCUGUGUUUUUUUUCCUUCUGCGAGUUGGCUUACAUAUUUUAUUGGCACCUAAUGCUGUGUAAAAUAUCAUCCCAAAACUCAGUGGUUUAAAAUAGCAAUAAUUAUUUAUAUCUCUCAUGGUGUCUGUGGGCCAGAAAUUUGGGGAUCAGCUUAGCUGGGUGGCUUUGGCUUGCUGUUUCUCAUGAGGUUGCACUAAAAUAUCUGCUGGGGUUAGCGAUCACCUGUAGAGUUGAUUGGGGUUUGAGGAUCCACUCCCAAGAUGGCUCACUCACAUGGACGGUGAACUGGUGCUUGGCUGUUGGCAAGAUAUCUAAGUUCCUUUCCACAUGGGCUCUAUUCAGGUUGCUUGACCAACCUCAUGAUAUGGUAGCUGGCUUCUCUUAGAACGAGCAUUUAAAAGAUAAGGUACAAGUCACAGUGCCCUUUUUGACAUGGCCUCAGAAAUCCUCCUACUGUACUCUGUUGUUCACCCAGAACAGCCCUGAUUCAAUGUGAGAAGAGACUACACAUGGAUAUCAGGAGGCAAAAAUUAUCGAGGGCUGUUUGAGAGGCUGGCCACCACACAAACUUUGCAUUUGGAAUAUGUCCCUCCCUUAAUCUCAAAUUUUCAGUACCCAGAUCAAAGCCCAUCCUUUCCGUGAAGUCUCACUCAGCACUCCAGUGGCAACUCUUAUGGUUCUUACUAUACAUAUGACCUUUAUCAUUUAGUAUGUACUUUGUUUUGAAGAUCUAAACAUAUGUUUUUUCUUUCAAAUGGAAUUUAAGCAACUGGAGACACACCCACUGUCAUAUAGUAGGCACUCAGCAAAUACUUUUUAAAAUAGAACACUGAAGGGGAAGGCCGGUUAGGUCAAUUGGUUAGAGCACGCUGCUCUUAACAACAAGGUUGCUGGUUCGAUCCCCACAUGGGCCACUGUGAGCUGCGCCCUCCACAACUAGAUUGAAACAACUACUUGGCUUGGAGUUGAUGGGUCCUGGAAAAGCACACUAAAAAUAAAUAAAAGUUUAAAAUAGAUGACUCAAUGAAUGAAGAGUACAAGCCAGAAGCCCUGGCUCUCUCUGCCUGUGGACUUUCCCCCGUUGCUUGACCUUAGCCAAAUCCCUUAAUCCUUCCGUCUGAGUUUUGUUCUACAUAACAUAAAGAUAAUACCUACUCCAGCCUUCCUCACAGAGGUGUUUUGGGAUUUGAAAGAGGUAGCACUCACAAAAGUGUUUGCAGGUGUAUAAAGAAUGAAGGCAAUGAGAGGUUAGUUACCUGGCACACAAGCGAUGGCUGAGAUGUAUAGUGUUGUCACAGGUGGGAGUCAGUCACUACCUCUGACUCCUCCUCAAGGAAUAGUUAACCCCUACAUCAAGCUGUCAGCAUACAAAUGCCCUUCAAUCCAACAGCUGCUGUCAGCAUAUAAUGGCUCAUGGCUGGGAGAGGCUCUCAGAAAAAAGAACCGCCUGGACCAGCGAGCUUGGCCUGUCACAGUCACACUCUGGAAAUGUCAAAACGCAAAGGCCUGGCUUGUUUCUUCAGGAGAAUUCUCAGGUGUCUUCUUCCUUCAUGUGCUCAGGUCUUUCCAUUUUUUUGUUAUAGACAAUUGUCCAGGUAUAAUUUUUUCUAUCCCAUACCUUAUUUUAAAAAAUUAACAUACAUCCAUCUCUUUUUUGGUGUAUAGUUCCAUGAAUUUUCACACAUGGGUAGAUUUAUGUAACCACCACAAUCAAGAUCCAGAGCUGUUCCAUCACCCCAACAAAUGUCCUUGUGCUUUCUAGUCACACCCCCACCCACCCAAAUCAGUGGCAACCAUUGAUCUAUUCUCUAUCACUACGGUUGUGUCUUUUUGAGAAUAUAAAUGGAAUCAUCCAGUAUCUUACCCAUGUCCUUGAGAUUCAUCUCAGUUUGCUCCUUUUUAUUACUGAGUAAUAUAUUCCUUUGUAAGGAUGUAUCUGGUUUAUUAUCCAUUCACCUGUUGAAGUAUAUUUGGAAUGGGAUUGCUGGCUCAUGUGAUGAACGUAUGUUUAGCUUUAUAAGAAACUGCCAAACUGUGUUCAGAGUGGCUGUACCAUUUUAGAUUCCCACCAGCGAUGUCGGAGAGAUGCUUAUGCAUUUGAUCCUUCUUCUCAUCAUAUUCUAUUGUUUAAAAGCCAUUUUCAUAGACAUGACUUUAAUUUACAUUUCCCUCAAAGGUGAAGUGUCCGUUCAAGUCUUUGCCCAUUGUUUUAUUGAGUUGUUUGUUUUCUUCUUAUUGUUGAAUGUUGAGAAUUAUUUAUGUCUUCUGGAUACAAGUCCUGUGUCAGAUAUGUGAUUUGCAAAUGCUUUCAUCGGGUUUGCCUGCAGCUUGUAUUUUCAUUUUCUUAAUAGUAUCUUUUG